AAUCCACCCACCUUGGUCUCCCAACAUGCUAGGAUUACAGGCAUGAGCCACCAUGUCUGGCCAAUGAGGGCAUCUUUCUAAUGGGAAAAGAAGUACAAUUAAUCCGGGUGAAAGCAGUGAGAAGUUCGUACUGGGCAGAAGACAACGGGUCUGUGGCUUGGGUGAAAAUGCCUCGUGUAAAAGCAGCUCAAGCUGGAAGACAGGCAGGGCCCUGCAAAGAGACAUCUUGCAGAACAAUUUGCAGCUGGGGAGAUAAUAACUGACAUGGCAAAAAAGGAAUGGAAAGUAGGAUUACCCAUUGGCCAAGGAGGCUUCGUAUGUAUAUAUCUUGCUGAUAUGAAUUCUUCAGGGUCAACUGGAAGUGAUGCACCUUGCGUUGUAAAAGUGGAACCCAGUGACAAUGGACCUGUUUUUACUGAAUUAAAGUUUUACCGACAAGCUGCAAAACCAGAGCAAAUUCAGAAAUGGAUUUGUACCCAUAAGCUGAAGUACCUGGGCUUUCCUAAGUACUGGGGGUCUGGUCUACAUGACAAAAAUGGAAAAAGUUACAGGUUUAUGAUAAUGGAUCACUUUGGUAGUGAGCUUCAGAAAAUAUAUGAGGCAAAUGCCAAAAGGUUUUCUCGAAAACUGUCCUGCAGCUAAGCUUAAGAAGUCUGGAUAUUCUGGAAUAUAUUCACAAGCAUGAGUAUGUGCAUGGAGGUAUCAAGGCCUCAAAUCUUCUGAGCUGCAAGAAUCCUGACCAGGGGUACUUGCUAGAUUAUGGCCUUGCUUAUCGGUACUGCCCAGAAGGAGUUAAUAAAGAAUACAAACAAGACCCCAAAAGAUGUCACGAUGGCACUAUUGAAUUCACAAGCAUUGAUGCACACCAUGGCGUGGCCCCAUCAAGACCUGGCGAUUUGGAAACACUUGGUUAUUGCAUGAUCCAAUGGCUUACUGGCCAUCUUCCUUGGGAGGAUAAUUUGAAAGAUCCUAAAUAUGUUACAGAUUCCAAAAUUAGAUAUAGAAAAAAUAUUGCAAGUUUGAUGGACAAAUGUUUUCCUGAGAAAAACCAGGUGAAAUUGCCAAAUACAUGGAAACAGUGAAAUUACUAGACUACACUGAAAACACUUUAUCAAAAUAUAUGCGAUAUUCUUUUGCAAGGACUAAAAGCUAUAGGAAGUAAGAAUGAUGGCAAAUUGGACCUCAGUGUUGUGGAGAAUGGAAGUUUGAAAGCAAAAACAGUAACAAAGUGAAAGAAAGAAAUAGAAGAAAGCAAGGAAUCUGGUGUUGAAGAUAUGGAAUGCUCAAGUCCACAGAGGAGCCCACACAGACCCACCCGUUCAAGAACCAGAAAGAGAGCCCAGAAGUACUUCAGAUGCUGUGAACCAGCUUUUCUUUUUUUUGUUUUCUUUUGAUUUUUUCUUCUUUUCUAUUUGAAGUGUUUUAUUUUCAUGUGAGUCUUGCGAGGUGGAAGUAAUAAUUAAAUACCUGUGUGUUCAGAAAAUAUAAACUUUUUAAUAAAUAUUUUGUACAAUUAAAAGAAGUAGAAUUAAU